GCUGCUGCGUCCAAGCUGGGUGCUCUCCGAGCGCAGGGAGGCAGGCUGCGAUCGGCGGGGCGCAGCUGGGGGAGCCCAGGCCGGCGAACCUGCGCGCGAUCUCCGCGGGUCCCCGGCGCCGAGGCCAGGACGGCCGGCGCUUUGGCCUUGGAUGGAAAUGGGGACUGGUCCUCCGGGCCCUCUACCGUGGAUUACUUGGUGCAUCUCUGCCGGGCUUGAUGAACCACGACCUCGUCUCCAUCCGUGGAUUGGUGCGUGCUACCCAAUAGUCGGGUCGUUUCCCUGGAGCCUAAGGAUCUCCAGUGAUUUCUUUGAGCCUAAUGAUGGGGAAGCUGAGAAUGGAGCUAUUAUUUUUAAACACCUUUUGAAAUACUACUCUUCCUGGUUUCUGAAGUGAAAUCAGAGG
rnacentral:lncRNA from 1 species